AAUCAACGCUGGCGGCGUGCCUAACACAUGCAAGUCGAACGCGACUGGGGCUUCGGCCUCAGUUGAGUGGCGAACGGGUGAGUAACACGUGGGUGACCCUACCUUCGAAUGGGGGAGUAACGUCCCGAAAGGGACGCUAAUACCGCAUAACAUCCUGCCUUUGAACAGGCGGGAGAUCAAAGCCGGGGAUCGCAAGACCUGGCGUUUGAAGAGGGGCCGUGCGUCCGAUUAGCUAG
rnacentral:rRNA from 1 species